GUUAUCACUUUGACUGCCAUUCUGUUCGUCUGCUCCUGGGACUUUUUGCACACGUGCACGCCUUUGCAGGCUAUUCUGGGCUGCAAUAUUUUGUUCCUGUAUCGCCCAGUGUUCCAGCAGUUUGGGAAAAAACAUAAGCCACAAGAUGUUCUGAGCGGCUCUGUGGCGGGCUAACGCGGGGAUGGACAGCGGGUCCACUUUUUCCGCUUGCAAGAGAACGAAAGCAACGCUUCGACGCAGAUGCGAUUCCGGGAUCGGGUAAUGGAGGCAGACAGCGAGGACAAGGUGGCACCGACAAGACGGGCUACUUGAGAUACGAAUCGUCUGCACCAUCUGCUGGCCUCGGCCACUUCGAAAGUGUCGCGAGCACUUCUGUAUGGACAAGUUUCCGUCGAUUUCCGGAGCCUCUGCUGAAUCAGCUUCACGUGGCAAUCAGCAGUGCAUCUUAUGAAGCAAGUCCUCACUGAAGACCACAGGGUGGUGCUAACCUGUUCCUCCCGGAAAGAAGCACCUGCACGAGAACUGACCCAAUCCUGUCGCCUUUGCUCACUAGUAAUUGCUGUUGCUGGACACUUCAAACGAAAGAGAUCAACCGAAAAUGCCUGCACGUCACUGUGGGAAUGCUGAGCAUUAAGUAGACGAAACGAGGUUUGACACUUGUACUACGCGAUUCCCCAGACAGCAAGGCACCCUUUUUCUUGGGAGACUUAUGCAGUGCUAGGUCACGUGAGAGGAAAGACUAAGAAACAAGGAAAUCAGUAUUUUUUUGCGUGUCACUAUCCGUUCUAAUGCAAUUGUUACCACCUACUUACGGGAUGAAUAAACGCAGGGUGUUAAUUGGU